AUCGAACGCUGGCGGCAGGCUUAACACAUGCAAGUCGAACGCAUCCUUCGGGGUGAGUGGCAGACGGGUGAGUAACGCGUGGGAACGUGCCCUUCAGUUCGGGAUAACCCAGGGAAACUUGGGCUAAUACCGGAUACGUGCGAGAGCAGAAAGAUUUAUCGCUGAAGGAUCGGCCCGCGUCUGAUUAGCUAGUUGGUGGGGUAAUGGCCCACCAAGGCGACGAUCAGUAGCUGGUCUGAGAGGAUGAUCAGCCACAUUGGGACUGAGACACGGCCCAAACUCCUACGGGAGGCAGCAGUGGGGAAUAUUGGACAAUGGGCGCAAGCCUGAUCCAGCCAUGCCGCGUGAGUGGUGAAGGCCUUAGGGUUGUAAAGCUCUUUCGUCCGGGACGAUAAUGACGGUACCGGAAGAAGAAGCCCCGGCUAACUUCGUGCCAGCCGCCGCGGUAA
rnacentral:rRNA from 1 species